UGCAGCCAUGUCAAAUUCAGCGUUGCCUUAUCCCUGGCAGCUACUGGCCCAAGUGGCUGCAACAGCAACAUGGUAGCUCAUGGGCCUCGCUUUCCCUUGUAGCGGAAUUCGAGGAUAAAAUUGUGCUACGGACAGAU
ensembl:snoRNA